rnacentral:lncRNA from 1 species
UGAUCAUACAUAUAUUAUACAAAGAUGCCCGGGAUCUGUAAUGAUUAGGACAUCUCUUGAUCCAUGAAGCAAGUUUCAUAAACUCCCUUUUGGAAGCGUGUCCAAAGAUGAACCUGGCCACAUGUCAGCUGACAUUAGCUGGACUUUGACCUCUCCUCUCUGUUCAGCAUUUAUCGAAUCACAACAGUUGUUUUUAUAGACCAUCCCUUUAGUAAUGGGUGCAUCAGCCGAUUUUAAAAAGUUGUUUCAUCCUUCAUAGGAAGAGCUACUACUUCACAAUUGCAUGAGAAGAGAUCAAUUUAUAUGUAUGGCUCAUACACAUCUCAAAAGGAGAAAUCAAGAGGGACUUAGGUAUGACCUACCACUACUAUGAAGCCUUUACUGAAUUCGCUGGUUCCUGAGGUUUCUUCUCAAGCUUCUGUAGAAGCUAUCCUCUGCACCACAACAUCAGAUCCUGAAUCAUGUGCUAUCAAUACUACUGGAUUUUCUGUUUUUCUGUGCCUGCUUUUCUUUCCUGUGUAGGUGGACAGAAAUGCACAUGGGUUGCAGUAUCUAGGGAAAUGCCAACUGAGGGUUCUUCAGGCCUAUUACAGACUAACAUAACUUUGAAGAGCAUAGUGAAUUCCAAUAUCUAAUCUUCAUCUUUGCAAGACCAAGAAUUCACUCUUGUCUGAGUCCUAGAAAUGAUUAUUGAUUCGAACAUUAAUUAUAUUUUCCUAACGUUUGAGUCGUCUCAAUGUUAAGUGGAGACAAUCUGGACAAAACAGAAGCUUUCUGCUCCACCUACUUGUAAGGCAAUGAGGGCAAUCACUCAACAGAAUUCCUCCUAAGAGGAACCCUGAGAGUGUUUGGAAGAAAUAAAUACUAUGCAGAAUGGAUGGUGACCAUCAAGAAAAAACUUCAGCGGAAAAAGAUGGCUCCCAGAUUUCUUUCUCAAGGAAACCAGAGCUCCAGGAGAAUGUUUUGUUUGACUGAGUACUUUGCUGGGCCAGAAGAUGAAAAAUUGGGACCAGGCAUGGUGGCUCACUCCUGUAAUCCCAGCACUUUGGGAGGCUGAGGCAGGCGGAUCAUGAG